CCUACGGGAGGCAGCAGUGAGGAAUAUUGGACAAUGGGCGCAAGCCUGAUCCAGCCAUGCCGCGUGCAGGAAGACGGUCCUAUGGAUUGUAAACUGCUUUUAUACAGGAAGAAACACACCCUCGUGAGGGAGCUUGACGGUACUGUAAGAAUAAGGAUCGGCUAACUCCGUGCCAGCAGCCGCGGUAAUACGGAGGAUCCAAGCGUUAUCCGGAAUCAUUGGGUUUAAAGGGUCCGUAGGCGGUUUAAUAAGUCAGUGGUGAAAUCUGGUCGCUCAACGAUCAAACGGCCAUUGAUACUGUUAGACUUGAAUUAUAAGGAAGUAACUAGAAUAUGUAGUGUAGCGGUGAAAUGCUUAGAUAUUACAUGGAAUACCAAUUGCGAAGGCAGGUUACUACUUAUGGAUUGACGCUGAUGGACGAAAGCGUGGGGAGCGAACAGGAUUAGAUACCCUGGUAGUCCACGCCGUAAACGAUGGAUACUAGCUGUUCGGAGCAAUCUGAGUGGCUAAGCGAAAGUGAUAAGUAUCCCACCUGGGGAGUACGUUCGCAAGAAGAGAACGUAAAGUAAAGUUAGAGCGUGAGAGNGACGACGACGACGACGAGGGAGGAGG
rnacentral:rRNA from 1 species